rnacentral:rRNA from 1 species
GACGAACGCUGGCGGCGUGCUUAACACAUGCAAGUCGAACGGAAAGGCCCUGCUGUUGUGGGGUGCUCGAGUGGCGAACGGGUGAGUAACACGAGAGUAACCUGCCCUUGACUUUGGGAUAACUUCAGGAAACUGGGGCUAAUACCGGAUAGGAGCUCCUGCUGCAUGGUGGGGGUUGGAAAGUUUCUGCGGUUGGGGAUGGACUCGCGGCUUAUCAGCUUGUUGGUGGGGUAGUGGCUUACCAAGGCUUUGACGGGUAGCCGGCCUGAGAGGGUGACCGGCCACAUUGGGACUGAGAUACGGCCCAGACUCCGACGGGAGGCCGCAGUGGGGAAUAUUGCGCAACGGGCGGAAGCCUGAUGCAGCAACGCCGCGUGCGGGAUGACGGCCUUCGGCUUGUAAACCGCGCUCGCCUGUGAUGAAGCGUGAGUGACGGUAAUGGGUAAAGAAGCACCGGCUAACUACGUG